rnacentral:rRNA from 1 species
AUCUAUGGCCAUGCCACCCUUAACAUGCCAGAUCUCAUCUGAUCUCAGAAGCUAAGCAAGGUCAGGCCUGGUUAGUAUUUGGAUGAGAGACCAUCUAGGAAGACCAGGUGCUGUAGGUG